GGGGCUGGGGCUCAGUGGUAGAGCGCUUGCCUGGCAUGCAUGAGGCACUGGGUUUGAGCUUUAGCACCA
rnacentral:tRNA from 1 species